AAACUAACUAGGAUGCCUUCAGUAACGGCGAGCGAAGCAGGCAUAGCUCAAAUUUGUAAUCUGGCGUCUUUGACGUCCGAGUUGUAUUUUCUAGAAGCGAGUUCGGCGACAGCUCCUACCCAAGUCCGUUGGAACGCGGCGUCAUGGAGGGUGAGAAUCCCGUGAAUGGUAGGAUGUCUGCUGCUAUGUGAACCGCCUUCGAAGAGUCGAGUUGUUUGGGAAUGCAGCUCUAAAUGGGAGGUAAAUUUCUUCUAAAGCUAAAUAUUGGCCAGAGACCGAUAGCGAACAAGUAGAGUGAUCGAAAGAUGAAAAGAACUUUGAAAAGAGAGUUAAACAGUACGUGAAAUUGUUGAAAGGGAAGCGCUUGAGAUCAGACUUCCUGUCUGAACUGUCCUUGCUUUUGCUUGGGUCAACAGUUCAGGCGUGGAGGCCAGCAUCAGUUUUGACGGCCGGAUAAAGGCCUUGGGAAGGUAGCUCCUCUCGGGGAGUGUUAUAGCCCAGGGUGUAAUACGGCCAGUUGGGACUGAGGACCGCGGCUUUGCCUAGGAUGCUGGCGUAAUGGUCUUAAGCGAC
rnacentral:rRNA from 1 species